UACGUAGGGGGCAAGCGUUGUCCGGAAUUAUUGGGCGUAAAGAGCGUGUAGGCGGCCAGAUAAGUCCGCUGUGAAAUCUCGAGGCUCAACUUCGAGCUGUCGGUGGAAACUAUCUGGCUAGAGUCCGGAAGAGGAGAAUGGAAUUCCGUGGUGUAGCGGUGAAAUGCGCAGAUAUCAGGAAGAACACCCGUGGCGAAGGCGGUUCUCUGGGACGGUACUGACGCUGAGACGCGAAAGCGUGGGGAGCGAACAGG
rnacentral:rRNA from 1 species